CCCGUCUUCUGCGUCGCUCAGGCUGGGAGCUGUAGACCGGAGCUGUUCCUAUUCGGCCAUCUUGGCUCCUCCUCUCGUGAACUGUCUCUACCUGUGGGGAUGGACAGCAGCAUCUAGCCUAGAGGAACCCUCUGAGGUUUGAUCAAUGAGAGACAUCAGCAGGAGAGAAGGGGACAGGAAAAGAAGGAGGUAGGGGUUUAUUCUUCUCCGGUCCACUGCAGAUUGGCGGUGUUCCUCCUCAUCGGCCACAGCUCUGGGGUUGGGUAGCUGCUCCCUCCUUGCCCUUUCAGGCCUAGGAUUGGUACCAGUUCCCUGCCCUUACUGACCCUAGGAUACUGAACUAUCCCUUUUUGUUUUCCCCAAACUCAGUCCACACCUUUGUAGAUGAGAUUCCUUAUUAAAUUCUUGUCAAAUUGUCCAGUCUGUGGGUGUCAUCUGCUUACUGUUGUACCUCAACUGAUAAAGGCAUGCAAUGUUUUACACCUGACAUGGUUUGGAUCUGUGUCCCCACCCAAAUCUCAUGUUGAAAUAUAAUCCCCAAUGCUGGAAGUGGACCGUGGUGGGAGGUGAUUGGAUCAUGGGGAAUGGUUUAGCACCAUCCCCUUGGUGCUGUCUUGUGACAGAGUUCUCACAAGGUCUAGUUGUUUAAAAGUGUGUAGCACCCUGCCCCCUUGGCCUUGCUCCUGCCAUGUAAGACACCUGCUCCCACUUUGCCUUCUGCUACGAGUACAAGCUCCCUGAGGCCUCCCCAGAAGCAGAUGCCACCAUGCUUCCUGUACAGCCUGUGGAACCGUGAGCCAAUUAAAA
rnacentral:lncRNA from 1 species